rnacentral:rRNA from 1 species
CAGCCGCCGCGGUAAUACGUAGGGGGCUAGCGUUGUCCGGAUUUAUUGGGCGUAAAGAGCGUGUAGGCGGCCAGGCAAGUCCGACGUGAAAUCUGGAGGCUUAACCUCCAGCGGUCGUUGGAAACUGCUUGGCUAGAGUCCGGAAGAGGAGAGUGGAAUUCCUGGUGUAGCGGUGAAAUGCGCAGAUAUCAGGAAGAACACCUAUGGCGAAAGCAGCUCUCUGGGACGGUACUGACGCUGAGACGCGAAAGCGUGGGGAGCGAACAGGAUUAGAUACCCUGGUAGUCCACGCCGUAAACGAUGGGUGCUAGGUGUGGGCGGUGUCGACUCCGUCCGUGCCGAAGCUAACGCAUUAAGCACCCCGCCUGGGGAGUACGGCCGCAAGGCUAAAACUCAAAUGAAUUGACGG